AAUCUUGUAGUUUAAAUAUAGAACUAUAAUUUGCAAAAUUAAAGGUGUUAUUCUAAGAUUU
rnacentral:tRNA from 1 species